rnacentral:rRNA from 1 species
AGAGUUUGAUCCUGGCUCAGGAUUAACGCUGGCGGCAUGCCUAAUACAUGCAAGUCGAUCGGGUGCAGCAAUGCAUCAGAGGCGAACGGGUGAGUAACACGUAUCCAAUUUACCCCAUAGCGAGGGAUAACUAGUCGAAAGAUUAGCUAAUACCGCAUAACGAUUAAAAUAUCGCAUGAGAAUUAAUUUAAAGAUCCGUUUGGAUUACUAUGGGAUAAGGGUGCGGCAUAUCAGCUAGUUGGUGAGGUAACGGCCCACCAAGGCAAUGACGUGUAGUUAUGCUGAGAGGUAGAAUAACCACAAUGGAACUGAGACACGGUCCAUACUCCUACGGGAGGCAGCAGUAGGGAAUUUUUCACAAUGGACGAAAGUCUGAUGGAGCAAUGCCGCGUGAACGAUGAAGGUCUUUGUAGAUUGUAAAGUUCUUUUAUUUAGGAAGAAAAGCUAGUAAAGGAAAUGUUAUUAGUUUGACCGUACUAUUUGAAUAAGUAACGACUAACUAUGUGCCAGCAGUCGCGGUAAUACAUAGGUUGCAAGCGUUAUCCGGAUUUAUUGGGCGUAAAACAAGCGCAGGCGGAUUAGAAAGUCUGGUGUUAAAAUCAACUGCUUAACGGUUGAAUGCAUUGGAAACUUCUAGUCUAGAGUGUGGUAGAGAGUUCUGGAACUCCAUGUGGAGCGGUGGAAUGCGUAGAUAUAUGGAAGAACACCAGCUGCGAAGGCGAGAACUUAGGCCAUUACUGACGCUUAGGCUUGAAAGUGUGGGGAGCAAAUAGGAUUAGAUACCCUAGUAGUCCACACCGUAAACGAUGGAUGUUAAACGUCGGGGCGAUCACCUCGGUGUUGCAGUUAACACAUUAAACAUCCUGCCUGGGUAGUACAUUCGCAAGAAUGAAACUCAAACGGAAUUGACGGGGACCCGCACAAGUGGUGGAGCAUGUUGCUUAAUUCGACGGUACACGAAAAACCUUACCUAGACUUGACAUCCUUGGCAAAACUAUAGAAAUAUAGUCGAGGUUAACCGAGAGACAGGUGGUGCAUGGUUGUCGUCAGCUCGUGUCGUGAGAUGUUGGGUUAAGUCCCGCAACGAGCGCAACCCUUAUCGUUAGUUACUUUGUCUAACGAGACUGCCAACGCAAGUUGGAGGAAGGUGGGGAUGACGUCAAAUCAUCAUGCCCCUUAUGUCUAGGGCUGCAAACGUGCUACAAUGGCCAAUACAAACAGUUACCAAACCGUAAGGUGGAGUUAAUCUGCAAAGUUGGUCUCAGUUCGGAUUGAGGGCUGCAAUUCGCCCUCAUGAAGUCGGAAUCACUAGUAAUCGCGAAUCAGCUAUGUCGCGGUGAAUACGUUCUCGGGUCUUGUACACACCGCCCGUCAAACUACGAGAGUUGAUAGUGUCUAAAACCGUGUUGCUAACCGCAAGGAAGCGCAUGUCUAGGACAAGAUUAAUGAUUGGAGUUAAGUCGUAACAAGGUACCCCUACGAGAACGUGGGGGUG